rnacentral:pre_miRNA from 1 species
GAGACACCCUUCUGGGGCAAGACUUGCUUCAGUAGGGCUUUGGUGCUCACUGAGUCUGUUCCCCGAGUGUGUCUCU